AUGGUUGAUUAUGAGGAAUAUAUUGACAAGAUAGUGGCCAAAGUUCGUUGCUGGAAGCUUGGACUCAUGGGUCUGGAUGGGCGCCUUAUACUUGUCAAGCAAAUCUUGUCUGCGAUGGUGGUUUUCCAAAUGAUUGCCCUGUCACAACCGAUUUGGCUACAUAAAAUUGUUGACAAGCUUAGAAGGGGCUUUCUUUGGGAGGGCAAGGAAGCUGCCAUUGGGGGCAAAUGCUUGGUGAGCUGGAAGCUUGUGUGUCGGCCGAAGAUUUAUGGGGGACUUGGGAUCCCCAACCUGCAAGCUCAAGGCCUAGCUCUACGCCUUCGCUGGCUUUGGCAAUCCUGGAACGAGCCGGACAAGCCAUGGGAAUUCCUACCCAUGACAAUCGACAAGAAGCUUAACAACCUCUUCAAUGCAUCUAUCAAGUUCAACCUGGGCAAUGGAGAAAGGAUUAAGUUCUGGUUAGAUCCUUGGCACAAUGGGAUUGCUCUGAGUUGCGCGGCGCCUGACCUGUUUGCUUGCUGCACUCGCAAGAACCUCACUGUGGCUCAAGCCCUUCAUGAUCGCCGUUGUAUUAGACACCUGCGUCACCCUCUUACACCAACAUCCAUUGUCCAAUUCACAAGGCUCUGGGAGAUGAUUGCCGAUGUGCGGCUACUGCAGGGAACUCCGGAUUCGGUGAUCUGGAGAUGGACGCCGAGCGGUGCUUACUCUUCCGCCACUGCAUAUGCCGUGCAAUUCGAGGGGUGCACACACCUCGCCGGCCAGCGGCACAUUUGGGCAGCGGAUGCUCCGCUAAAAUGCAGAAUUUUUGCUUGGCUAGCGAUCUUGGGAAAUGCCUUACAGCGGACAACCUACGUAAGAGAGGGUGGCCACACGACCCGAUUUGUUGUCUCUGCAGGGCAGCGGACGAGUGUGCCGAUCACCUCCUGGCACGCUGCUCCUUUACCCAAGCACUACGGAGUUUGA
rnacentral:rRNA from 1 species